CCUACGGGUGGCAGCAGUGGGGGAUAUUGCACAAUGGGGGAAAGCCUGAUGCAGCGACGUCGCGUGGGUGAAGAAGGGCCUCGGCGCGGAAAGCCCUGUCAGCAGGGAAGAAAAUGACGGUACCUGAAGCAGAAGCCACGGUUAACUACGUAACAGCAGCCGCGGUAAUACGUAGGGGGCAAGCGUUAUCCGGAUUUACUGGGUUUAAAGGGGGCGGAGGUGGGGAUGCAAGCCAGGAGGGAAAGCCCGGGGCCCAACCCCGGGAUUGCUGUUGGAACUGCGUGGCUUGAGUGCAGGAGGGGUAGGCGGAAUUCCUGGUGUAGCGGUGAAAUGCGUAGAUAUCAGGAAGAACACCGGUGGCGAAGGCAGCCUGCUGGACUGCAACUGACGUUGAGGCCCGAAAGCGUGGGGAGCAAACAGGAUUAGAUACCCGUGUAGUC
rnacentral:rRNA from 1 species